UACGGAGGGUGCGAGCGUUAAUCGGAAUUAUUGGGCGUAAAGCGCACGCAGGCGGUUUGUUAAGCUAGAUGUGAAAGCCCCGGGCUCAACCUGGGAUGGUCAUUUAGAACUGGCAGACUAGAGUCUUGGAGAGGGGAGUGGAAUUCCAGGUGUAGCGGUGAAAUGCGUAGAUAUCUGGAGGAACAUCAGUGGCGAAGGCGACUCCCUGGCCAAAGACUGACGCUCAUGUGCGAAAGUGUGGGUAGCGAACAGG
rnacentral:rRNA from 1 species